rnacentral:rRNA from 1 species
UACGUAGGGUGCAAGCGUUAAUCGGAAUUACUGGGCGUAAAGCGUGCGCAGGCGGUGAUGUAAGACAGAUGUGAAAUCCCCGGGCUCAACCUGGGAACUGCAUUUGUGACUGCAUUGCUAGAGUAUGGGAGAGGGAAGUGGAAUUUCCGGUGUAGCGGUGAAAUGCGUAGAUAUCGGAAGGAACAUCAGUGGCGAAAGCGGCUCAUUGGCCCUACACUGACACUCAAGCACGAAAGCGUGGGUAGCAAACAGG